rnacentral:ncRNA from 2 species
AAAUAUGUGGUUCGUAACCAUCCCACAGAAAAAAACUAGGAGGAA